rnacentral:rRNA from 1 species
AGCAGCCGCGGUAAUUCCAGCUCCAAUAGCGUAUAUUAAAGUUGUUGCAGUUAAAAAGCUCGUAGUUGAAUUUCGGGACCAAUCUGCCGGUCGUGCCUCCGGUACGCACUGGUUUUAUUGGUUUCUCCCUUCUGACGAACCAUGAUGUCAUUAAUUUGGUGUCGUGGGAAAUCAGGACUGUUACUUUGAAAAAAUUUAGAGUGUUUAAAGCAGGCUCACGCUUGAAUACAUUAGCAUGGAAUAAUGAAAUAGGACGUUUGAUUCUAUUUUGUUGGUUUCUAGGAUCGACGUAAUGAUUAAUAGGGAUAGUUGGGGGCAUUAGUAUUCAAUUGUCAGAGGUGAAAUUCUUGGAUUUAUUGAAGACUAACUACUGCGAAAGCAUUUGCCAAGGAUGUUUUCAUUAAUCAAGAACGAAAGUUAGGGGAUCGAAGACGAUCAGAUACCGUCGUAGUCUUAACCAUAAACUAUGCCGACUAGGGAUCGGAUGAUGUUAAUUUUUUUAAUGACUCAUUCGGCGCCU